AAGGCCCGAAGUAUCGGGUAAGGAAUUGGAUCGUAGUUUAGGAUUAGUGUAGGUUAGCGUAGGUUUAUUUUUCAAUACCUUUUUUUUUCAUUUCGGGUUGUAAUAAUUGGACUGGACAUUAUUAUUUUGGUUUUUGGAUUGUUGUUUGAUGGUUGUUUAUGUUCGUUAUGUGGUUUAUACAUUUGUGGUGUCUAAUUAGCCGAUACUCUCCACCAAGCGACCGUGGUCGAACCACGGGACCGAGGGGUGCCUAACACCUUCCC
rnacentral:lncRNA from 1 species